rnacentral:rRNA from 1 species
GAUGAACGCUGGCGGCGUGCCUAAUACAUGCAAGUCGAGCGAACAGACGAGGAGCUUGCUCCUCUGACGUUAGCGGAGGACGGGUGAGUAACACGUGGAUAACCUACCUAUAAGACUGGGAUCACUUCGGGAAACCGGCGCUUAUACCGGAUAAUAUAUUGCACCGUAUGGUUCAAUAGUGAAAGACGGUUUUGCUGUAACUUAUAGAUGGAUCCGCGCCGCAUUAGCUAGUUGGUAAGGUAACGGCUUACCACGGCAACGAUGCGUAGCCGACCUGAGAGGGUGAUCGGCCACACGAGAGCGGAGACACGCUCCAGGCGCCUACGGGACGCAGCAGUAGGGUAUCGGCCGCAAUGGGCGAAAGCCUGACGGAGCAACGCCGCGUGAGUGAUGAAGGUCUUCGGAGCGUAAAACUCUGAUAUGAGGGAAGAACAAAUGUGUAAGUAACUAUGCACGUCUUGACGGUACCUAAUCAGAAAGCCACGGCUAACUACGUG